rnacentral:rRNA from 1 species
UACAGAGGUGGCAAGCGUUGUUCGGAAUUACUGGGCGUAAAGGGCGCGUAGGCGGCUUGGUCAGUCCCGUGUGAAAUCCCUCGGCUCAACUGAGGAACUGCACGGGAAACUGCCUGGCUUGAGUUCGGGAGAGGGAAGCGGAAUUCCGGGUGUAGCGGUGAAAUGCGUAGAUAUCCGGAGGGACACCGGUGGCGAAGGCGGCUUCCUGGACCGGCACUGACGCUGAGGCGCGAAAGCUAGGGGAGCAAACGGG